rnacentral:tRNA from 1 species
GGUCCUGUAGCGCAGUGGUAGCGCGUCUGAUUUCUAAUCAGAAGGUCGUAGGUUCGAGCCCUACCUGGAUCG